rnacentral:rRNA from 1 species
ACAACAAAGAGUCCCUCCCGACUGUUUACCAAAAACACAGCACUCUGCUAACUCGUAAGAGGAUGUAUAGGGUGUGACGCCUGCCCGGUGCUCGAAGGUUAAUUGAUGGGGUUAGCAUUAGCGAAGCUCUUGAUCGAAGCCCGAGUAAACGGCGGCCGUAACUAUAACGGUCCUAAGGUAGCGAAAUUCCUUGUCGGUUAAAUACCGACCUGCAUGAAUGGCGUAACGAGAUGGGAGCUGUCUCAAAGAGGGAUCCAGUGAAAUUGUAGUGGAGGUGAAAAUUCCUCCUACCCGCGGCAAGACGGAAAGACCCCGUGGACCUUUACUACAGCUUGACACUGCUAUUUGGAUAAGAAUGUGCAGGAUAGGUGGGAGGCUUUGAGUAUAUGACGCCAGUUGUAUAUGAGCCAUUGUUGAGAUACCACUCUUUCUUAUUUGGGUAGCUAACCAGCUUGAGUUAUCCUCAAGUGGGACAAUGUCUGGUGGGUAGUUUGACUGGGGCGGUCGCCUCCCAAAUAAUAACGGAGGCUUACAAAGGUUGGCUCAUAGCGGUUGGAAAUCGCUAGUAGAGUAUAAAGGUAUAAGCCAGCUUAACUGCAAGACAUACAAGUCAAGCAGAGACGAAAGUCGGUCUUAGUGAUCCGGUGGUUCUGUGUGGAAGGGCCAUCGCUCAAAGGAUAAAAGGUACCCCGGGGAUAACAGGCUGAUCUCCCCCAAGAGCUCACAUCGACGGGGAGGUUUGGCACCUCGAUGUCGGCUCAUCGCAUCCUGGGGCUGGAGCAGGUCCCAAGGGUAUGGCUGUUCGCCAUUUAAAGCGGUACGCGAGCUGGGUUCAGAACGUCGUGAGACAGUUCGGUCCCUAUCUGCCGUGGGCGUAAGAAGAUUGAAGAGAUUUGACCCUAGUACGAGAGGACCGGGUUGAACAAACCACUGGUGUAGCUGUUGUUCUGCCAAGAGCAUCGCAGCGUAGCUAAGUUUGGAAAGGAUAAACGCUGAAAGCAUCUAAGCGUGAAGCCAACUCUAAGAUGAAUCUUCUCUAAGCUCUCUAGAAGACUACUAGUUUGAUAGGCUGGGUGUGUAAUGGAUGAAAGUCCUUUAGCUGACCAGUACUAAUAGAGCGUUUGGC